rnacentral:rRNA from 1 species
UACGAAGGGGGCUAGCGUUGUUCGGAAUUACUGGGCGUAAAGCGCACGUAGGCGGAUAUUUAAGUCAGGGGUGAAAUCCCGGGGCUCAACCCCGGAACUGCCUUUGAUACUGGGUAUCUCGAGUCCGAGAGAGGUGAGUGGAAUUCCGAGUGUAGAGGUGAGAUUCGUAGAUAUUCGGAGGAACACCAGUGGCGAAGGCGGCUCACUGGCUCGGUACUGACGCUGAGGUGCGAAAGCGUGGGGAGCAAACAGG